CGAUUGUCGUCCCUGCUCGACGGGUGGGUCUUGCAGUUACGCUCCAUUCUGCUUUUGCGAGGGCCAAUCUUCUUCCAGCCCGAGGAAACCUUUGGACGCCUCCGUUACCUUUUGGGAGGCCUAUGCCCCAUAGAAACUAUCUACAUGAGAUUGUCCCUUAGCCCGUAGAUCUUGACAUAAGGGAAUUCUAGAUCUUCAGAGUGGUAUAUUUG
rnacentral:lncRNA from 1 species